UGUCUCCUCCACUUCUUGCAAAGGAAAUGGAUUUAAGCCCGCUCCCUUGAGCGGGUUUUUUUUU
rnacentral:ncRNA from 1 species